rnacentral:rRNA from 1 species
AUCGCAGUCUGCAACCCGACUGCGUGAAGUCGGAAUCGCUAGUAAUCGCGGAUCAGCAUGCCGCGGUGAAUACGUUCCCGGGCCUUGUACACACCGCCCGUCACACCAUGAGAGUCGGGAACACCCGAAGUCCGUAGCCUAACCGCAAGGGGGGCGCGGCCGAAGGUGGGUUCGAUAAUUGGGGUGAAGUCGUAACAAGGUAUC